rnacentral:rRNA from 1 species
UACCAGCACCCCGAGUGGUCGGGACGAUUAUUGGGCCUAAAGCAUCCGUAGCCGGUUUACAAGUCCUCCGUUAAAUCCAGCUGCUUAACAGAUGGGCUGCGGAGGAUACUAUAAGACUAGGAGGCAGGAGAGGCAAGCGGUACUCAGUGGGUAGGGGUAAAAUCCGUUGAUCCAUUGAAGACCACCAGUGGCGAAGGCGGCUUGCCAGAACGCACUCGACGGUGAGGGAUGAAAGCUGGGGGAGCAAACCGG